rnacentral:rRNA from 1 species
GACGAACGCUGGCGGCGUGCUUAACACAUGCAAGUCGAGCGGAAAGGCCCUUUUCGGGGGUACUCGAGCGGCGAACGGGGUGAGUAACACGUGAGUAAUCUGCCCUUGGCUUUGGGAUAACCACCGGAAACGGUGGCUAAUACCGGAUAUGACGGGCUCCGGCAUCGGGGUUCGUGGAAAGUUUUUCGGCCAGGGAUGUGCUCGCGGCCUAUCAGCUUGUUGGUGGGGUAAUGGCCUACCAAGGCUUCGACGGGUAGCCGGCCUGAGAGGGUGACCGGCCACACUGGGACUGAGACACGGCCCAGACUCCUACGGGAGGCAGCAGUGGGGAAUAUUGGACAAUGGGCGGAAGCCUGAUCCAGCAACGCCGCGUGAGGGAUGACGGCCUGGUUGUAACGUACUUCUAGUACCGUACGAACGACG